CUCAGAAUUUUUAUCGCACCACAAGUACUAAUUUAACAGCGCUGCGGAAUCUGUUGGCGCUUUAUAAAUACCAGUAAUAAAUAAAUAAGUAGAUGUACAAUUCAUCAGAAAGAGUGCGUUAGAACAAGGAAAAGAAGAAAACCAAAAAAUGAUGCAGAACCAUUGCAGUGCUUUUUUUGUAAUACUCUCACAAACAUGUUAUGCUAUCUCAUGUAUGUUGAGGGGGAUACUACCUAUUUGUCAGAUGCCAUUGACCACUCACCCACUGUACCAUAUCAGGAAGCUGGUAUAACAGGUUAGUUAGGAUCCCUGAGGAUCCAAAAAUUAAUUCAAUGCAAAAUCUUGCAGUUUCUAAAUUAGUCGGCUG